UGUUGAGCCGUCACACGGAAUCGA
rnacentral:snRNA from 1 species